CUUUUACAAUGAAGAGUUUGAUCCUGGCUCAGGAUGAACGCUAGCUACAGGCUUAACACAUGCAAGUCGAGGGGCAGCAUGAACUUAGCUUGCUAAGUUUGAUGGCGACCGGCGCACGGGUGAGUAACACGUAUCCAACCUGCCGAUGACUCGGGGAUAGCCUUUCGAAAGAAAGAUUAAUACCCGAUGGCAUAGUUCUUCCGCAUGGUGGAACUAUUAAAGAAUUUCGGUCAUCGAUGGGGAUGCGUUCCAUUAGGUUGUUGGCGGGGUAACGGCCCACCAAGCCUUCGAUGGAUAGGGGUUCUGAGAGGAAGGUCCCCCACAUUGGAACUGAGACACGGUCCAAACUCCUACGGGAGGCAGCAGUGAGGAAUAUUGGUCAA
rnacentral:rRNA from 1 species